GCAUUAAUGGGGUAGUGGUAACCUCAGUCGUUGCCACAUUGAUGGCCUUGACUCGACUGGCCGCGAGUUCGAUUCUCGCUUAAUGCA